GCCCAUAACCUGAAGUUUUGCAGUCACCUGAAAGAAAACCAUAUACAUAGAAUGUGAUCAUAAAAUUGAAACCUCUAUCUGUCAACAAGUGGUUACUAUGUUUCAUGUCGGGGUCUAAAUUAAGAACAAGAACGAAUUGGGAAGGCAGAAAAACGAGGAAAAAAUGGUUUCAUUGUUAAGGCAGAACUUUAUUCAUUUCUCUACUAAAUAAGGGCCAAGGAAGAAUUAGAGCCACUGUUUACCCAGUAACUCUGCUAGAUACAAAAUAUCAGCUAUAACUUUCAAAAGCACCAUGACUUUGGAUGCAUGAUGAACUUAUUCUUUGAGCUUCUUUAUGCAUUUUCAUGUGAUGAAUUGACUUUGAGAUGCAAUUUUUAUCAUCAUGAUUCCUUUCAUACUAUGAACCAUGAAUUUAUCAAUGCAAAUGGAUCAAGCUACAUAAGUUCCUGUACUGCAAACCUAUUUAUUGUAUGAUUACCUCAUAUGCAUCUUAAUAUGUAGCAUCGAUAGAUUCGACUGGAAGGAAGAAAGCGCUUACUGUUGCUUUCUUUCUGUCUGUCUGCUGGUUUAAGGUCAGUAAAAAGGCAAAAUUUGCUCGUCAAGAAAUGCAAAUUUCAUCUUCCAAUCCAAAUUUACCUCUAAACUAUCUGAGAAAAGCAUAACUUACACUCUUAAAUCCUAAUAAGUGAUAUCCUUAUUUGGCCUUUUAAUCAUAAUUAGAGCCAAAUUUGGACUGAAAGACAAAAAUUGAUAUUUUUGGCCCACUAUGUAGUACAAGGAAAAAUUUAG
rnacentral:lncRNA from 1 species